UGCGUCGGCAGCGGCCAUAGAGUUGUAGACGCCGACGCUCGAAAGACGCUAGAUGUGGGGGGGCCCUUAGAUAUAGGUUCUUUAAUAGGUACCUUCUAAUAGCCAAAUAGAAUAACGCCUGCAUUGAUUGUUUGGAUAUUAACUGUGCUCUUAAAACGUUUGUACAAAAAUAAAUUCCUAGAUAUUUUUAUCUUACCUAUCUUAUUUCAGAGUCACUAUCUAUCUCUUUUAAAUUUAAAAUUGUUAAUUCUGUGUUCAUUACAUGCACGUUUGCUAUUAUACUCUAUUUUAGGCGUUAUUUACUAAUUUCAAAACAAGUGGAGAUUAUUUAUUUAUAAUGAAUACAGGAUUUAUGCAACUUUCCCCUUUACACUGUUUGGCAUCAUUGUUUAGCUGUCUACAAAGUUUAUCUGGUUAACUGUUAAAAGAUAUUUUAUUGCAUAUUCAAUGUCAGUAGCUCUAAUGGUAUCUACGAACAAUGUUCCCGUUUAGUCAACAUAAGAGUAAGGUAGGAUAUGAAUGACUGAUCUGAUUAUUUUAGAACGGCUGGCAGGUUUUGUACUACGACAGAUUGAUAUAGCUACUUGUCAUAUUAAUUUUAUAUGUAAUACACAUUCACAUAAUUAUAUGUACGUUUAUAUAAAAUAUACACCUACAUUUUGUUAUCUGUGACGACUGAGUAAGUUGUUGGUUUCACGGUACUUAAGUUACAGAACGUGCUUGCCGGUCUAGUAAUGACGAUUACGAGAAGCUGAAGACGAACUGCUAAUAAUAUACAGUAAAUCAAAGUAAAUUGCGUUUUCAAUGUGCACCUACAUAUUUUAUAAACAUGUGCUUGAUUUUCCAAAAUUAUAUUACAGCUUUUUGAGGUUAUUUGUAGUUACUGCUUUUAGGUCAAGGCAUGUAUACUGUAUAGGUAGGACCCUAUAAGUAGGAACACCUUUAUACACGGUGUAAGAUGAGGAAACCGAAUAGUUUUAACAGCGUAUUCCUGAUCAUAUUUAGAGACAAAAAUGUCCUAUAAACUUUUUUUAAAUUCGCCUAGUUACAGAGAUAAUAUUAAUUAAAAAAUAAUCAAGUAUUUCUUGUUACAUAAUGUAAAAUGCCUUUUUGAUGGUAAUAUUGCUGCUAUGGGACGUAUACUAAAUAUCCUUAUUGAUAGAUAUCAAAAAGUUACAAGUAACACUUUUCAAAAAGUGGGUUUUACGAAAAAAAAUGUUAAAAUCAAGUUACAAGUUUCCCAAUGACAUUUAUUUUUUUAUGUACAAAAACAUUUAAAAAAAAAUGAAACAAACAAUUUUUUUUUAGACGAAAUUGACUUAAACUCAUAUUACUAUUUUUCCUCUUCUUUUGACCUCAGAAAUGCGUGGUUAAAAUUAUUCGGUUUCCUCAUGUUACACCGUGUAUUGUAGAGAAUUGCAAUAAUACAUAAUGAGAGAUUUUUAUAGGGUAACUUACCCACUAAUCCGCACUAAAAAUUCCAGCCGCAGCCAUCUAUUUUUGCUGGAAAGUGAUAAUACAAAAGUAAUGCAUAAUCUUUUACCAUCUUAUUUUCACGGAAACGCACGAACGCGUUACGCCAUUUCAGUAAGUCUCAGUACCUACAAAAAGUGCUGAGGUUGACUGAAGUAGCAUGGCAAAUACGAACAUUUCCUAGAAAAUAUGGCAAAGAAUUAUGCACUACAUCUUUAUUUAACAAAUUGUCACUAAUUGGUGGAAUAACGGCAAUGAGAAGUUUACCCUAAUAUCAGUUAUAUAUUUUAUUGGUUGUCCUUUAUGACCCUGCCUACGAAGCUGGAGGUCCCGGGUUUAAAUCCCGGUAAGUUUUGUGUUCAUCACAAAUAUUUGUAGUUGAGUUGUGGAUUUUUCUAUUAUAUUAGGGAUCUAUAUUAUUGUCUAGUACCCACAACAAAAGCCUUAUUCAGCUUUGUGUAAGAUGAUCCCAUAAUAUUUAUUUAUUGACCUUUCCUGUAUAUAAAUUUCUAUCCAAGAAUGUACAUUGAAUAUGACCACAUAUUUUAACCUUUUCACCGCCAUUGUCUUGAUAUAAAGUCAGUAUAUUUUGUGCUCCACACGCCAUGACUUGAUAUAUUGUUAUACGGGUUGUGUACGUACAAUUUUUGACAUGGCGUUGAUGACAUAAUGACACUUUAUUGCUUAAUUGACGUAGCGGCUUAGAGCAACACCGGCUUCCGACACGUCGGAACGUCGAAGGCAAUUUACUAAUAGUGUAGUAACUAAAUAAAGGUAGUGGACCCUGCAGUAAUUCCUCAGCCAGAAAAAACUUUACAGUAUGAUAAAGUAUCAAUAAAUAAAAAGUAUUGUAUAAAUAUCCAAAGAAUAAUAAUAAUAGUAAAUAGUAUUUAAGUAAAUACCUAAAGUCUUAAAUCGUUAAUAUCUUUUUACGGAAAAAUGCUCCGUUCAAACUUUCGUCUCCACCGGAAAUAUUCAUGUAACGUAUUGCAACAAUAUAUGACAUAACAAUAAAAAAAACCCAGCAGAAAUACCAAUAACUUAUUUGGUAAAAAAAAAUCGGACGGAGGAAUUACUCGGUUAAAUAAAUAAACAGAUUUGUAUGUUUACGUAUAAAUACCUAACUUAGGAGUGUUUUUAGGGUUCCGUACCUCAAAACGAAAAAAAAGAACCCUUAUAGGAUCACUCGUGCGUCUGUCUGUCUGUUUGUCACAGCCUAUUUUCUCGGAAACUACUGGACCACUUAAGUUGAAAUUUGGUACACAUAGGUAAAUUAGUAACCCAAAGAUGGACAUAUUUUUUGUAUAAUUUUAAAAUACAUAGUUUCGAAGUUAUUUAAGAAAAUACAAAUAGCCGAAAAAUGACCAUGCCCCCUGUAUCUCCGAAACUACUGGGUCUAAAAUUUUGAAAAAAGUACACAAAAUAGUUCUUUACCUAUAGAUGACAGGAAAACCUAUUAGAAAUGUGCAGUCAAGCGUGAGUCGGAAUUAUGUACGGAACCCUAGAAACGCGAGUCAGACUCGCACUUGGCCGGUUUUUUUUUUGGAUAUUUAUAAUGUUAGUUUCGGCUCAUACUAUACAAUAACCAAGCAAAAUUUCAUCGACUGAGGAAUUAAUGCAUGGGUCUCCAUACAACAACUUGCUUCGUUUACUACACUAUAAAGAAAACAUAUACCUAAUUGUUAAAUACCGAAAACGAUUUUUUAUAAAAAUAAUUUUGUGUGUGUUUUUUGCAAUUCUUACAUAAGGUCAGCGUCAGUGAUUUUAAUCGUAUACCUCUUCUUCAGUGGUCCAGUGCAGUGGAGGCGGUGUCAGGCCUACAAGUCUACUUUUGUUUUCAAUGCCUUUACCUACAGUAUUAGAUAUAUAUUUUAAAAUAAACAUUGUUCAAAACCUGUCUUAUAAUUUACUGUAACUAAACAAAUAAUUACUUAUAUAACUGCAUAAAAUUCAUGUUUUUAUGAAAAAGUAAAGAGAAUCCACGACAAUUUUCAAAACGCCUGUUAAAAAAUGGUUUCGGCAUUGAAAACAAAUGAAUAUCGUUGAAACAAUGAAUAUAUUUUGUGAUAUAUAUUGCUAUAAUUCUAUUUUUGAUAAUGCCUAUGAUGGAUAUUGCUGAACUAAUAGGGAAUGGUAGCUGAAUUUAAAUAAUACCUAUCUCUUAUAAAGCUUCUCUAUAUAUAAUGUAGCGUUCAGGAUGUCAAUUGCUAAUUCAAGCUCGUUCAUCAAAUAUAUUAUAACUUUCAACUAAGAUUAUAAUCAUUAUUUUAGCUGAAAUACAAAUGUUGUGUAACCCCACCUAUUUUUUAUAAGCAUUAAUGGUUCCGUUAUUUUUAUUUUGUAAAAAUAUGACGUUCUCAAGUCGACGCUUUUACUGAUUAUGAAAUAUAAUUAUUACUUAUUAAUUGUAAAUAUUUGGUAUCUUACAUAAUAUACUAUUUACCUGUAAAUCUAUCUAUAAAAUAACAAAUGUUCAAAAUUAAAUUCGGUUGCUGAACGAUUGAUAGUUUGUCCUUAUUAGUUUAUUAUUAUAUUUAAAACUUAAUCAUCAGUGAUUGCAUAACCUUCAAAUAGGUACCGUCAACCGGGGUGAAUAGGGAUGGCUGAGGUGAAUAUAGACAAAACUUAAAAUGUGAUUUACUCAUAAUUUAUUGAAAAAUAUCUACACAAAUUGUAUCAUACAAAAUCUACUAUUAUGUUUAGUCAAAUGAUACAAUUAGUGUGGGUAUUUUUUUUAUUGUUAGGUAAUCACAUUUUAAGUUCUGUUCCUAUGAACCCAAGACAUCCCUAUUCACCCCGUUUUACGGUAUAUUUAGUUUUCGCUUUAUCUUUAAUUACAAAUCAACGUAACUCUACAAAGAACGGCUACAAAAAUAUAUUUUGCAACGUUAUAAUAAAAAUUAUUAAAAUUUCCACUCUGCAAGGUCCCAUUGUGAUAGAUAUAGCUAGUGCCAAUCGGUUAUUUAAAUAUUACAAGUGAAGAGCAAUUUUAGAGCAUCGUAGAUAUUAUUUAAGCUCAGUCAUCCUUUAUGGGAUUGGAAUAAAAAAACUUAAUUUUUAACGUCUUUCGGUAUUUAAGGUUAUACAUUUUAAGAUCGUGUUAUAAGAGUUACUAAUUCAUGUCAUAGCUUAGUCGUUAUCAAUUGAACAUUAUAUAUUCCAAUCGCAGAAAGGACUACAAAAUGCGUAAUUUUGUCGAACGAAUAAUAAUAUAAAAUUUAUAAACAUAGAGUGCUGUAAAUAAAAUUCUUAAAAUAUUCAUGUAUAAACAAUAUUAUAAUUUCCUGUUUUAGGUACAUUUUAUAAAAUGUAUUUAUUUAAUGUGAAUACUAUUUAGAACAAGGGAAAGUUAUUGUCUUCACUACUUACGAGUCUAUAAUAGUGUGAAAUAAAUUAUUGAAUUAUUAGACUUAUUAGAGUAUCAAUAAAUUAUUGCGAAA